rnacentral:lncRNA from 1 species
AUGCAGCCAUCAGAAGAGAGCUGGCAGCAAGAGAUCAGGGACCUGAAGGAACUUCUGGUGGGGAAAGACCAGCAGAUCUGCAGGGUGGAGCAGGAGAGGAGAACGCUGGCUGAGGCUCACGUGGACACCUUGGCCCUGCUGAGCAGCACGCAGGCGGCACUGAAGCAGGAGGAAGGAAAAUGUGCCCGUCUCCAAGAACAAUGCAGCAAGAACCUGGCUGAUGAGGAGCUGAGACACCAGACGCAGCUCAAGACCAAGCAGAUGGUGUCCGACCUCACAAAAAGGUGUGAAGUGAUCUGGACGGAGACCCAGAGGAACCUGGAGGAGAUGCUGGGGGACCAGGAAAGGAUCUCGGAGGAAAAGGAGAGCUCCACCAGGAAGGAGAUCCACCUCCUGACCGAGAGAAUCGUCCAGCUGCAGCAACUCCUCCGUGAAAAAGAAACAAAGAAGAACCAAAAGGUGAAGUUCAGAAUAAUGAAGUUCUUCUUUGGAAGAUAAACAAAGAGACGAAAUAAUUCUGAUCCUGAGCUCUGACCUGGACAUUCUAUUAUUUCUACUCUUUUGUCCUGAAAAACACUUGUUUGCUUUAAAAAUGGUAUAAGUGUGAUAGUAUUCAUUGUUUCUGUUUUAAUCAAUAAAAAUGCAAAUAAAGGUUGUUUUUUGUCACAUCACAAAACAUCCAAAAUUAAUAUCUGACAGAUGAAACCAGAACGCUGCUCCACCUGCCUGCAGUUCCUCCAGCGGCCACUUGAGGUCGCUGUCGUAAUACACCGAUUAGUGACCGAUCUUCGUCCCUGUGAUCGAUUUAGGGGCAGUUUUGUCGAAAGUAAUUUGAAAUAAAUAAAGUUCAAGAAAUGACAGUAAAAGUUAGAAUAUCGGGACAAAUAUGGACCGAAACAAUGGCGAAUCUUAUGACCACCACCGCAGACUUUGAGCACUCAUUUUCCUUCAACUUUGAACAUAUUUUGCUGACAACAAAGUUCAAUGCAUUCAAUGUUGAUUUUCCUAAUUAUUUUAUCAAUAGCGGUUUAGUUUCCUGCUGCUUCACAUGAGUUGCAAAGUCUGUAAUGUUGCAAAUAGGCUGUUUAGUCUUUGGAUCUGUUUCAAACGGUUUCAAACAGCUUCUGAUUUGAAGGUUGAGACAGGAACCGAACCGAGAGGUCGUGAUGUUCUCUCCAGCAGCAGGUGGAUUAUGCGACAGCCAGAGGACGCUUCUUC